rnacentral:rRNA from 1 species
UACGUAGGGUCCGAGCGUUGUCCGGAAUUACUGGGCGUAAAGAGCUCGUAGGCGGUGUGUCGCGUCGGCCGUGAAAACCUGCAGCUUAACUGUGGGCUUGCGGUCGAUACGGGCAUCACUGGAGUUCGGCAGGGGAGACUGGAAUUCCUGGUGUAGCGGUGAAAUGCGCAGAUAUCAGGAGGAACACCGGUGGCGAAGGCGGGUCUCUGGGUCGAUACUGACGCUGGAGGAAGCGAAAGCGUGGGGAGCGAACAGG